UUGGAUAUCUGUGAGCGGGUUCCGGUCCUUCCCAGUGAAGAUUACACGGAACUCUGCUCGCAUUUGUUCAGGGAGGGUGGAUGCACUUCACUGUGUGACCACAUGAUCUGAAUUUUUACUUUGAGGAAAUGAGAGUGUUCCAAGCAGGGAAUCGCCGUGAAUAUGAUAGCAUGGAAUAAUAGCACAGGACUCUUGGUUCAAUGGUGUUGGUUAAUUGAACUAGAGUAAUCACAAUAAGGAUAGUUGGGGGUAUUCGUAUUUAACUGUCAGAGGUGAAAUUCUUGGAUUUUUUAAAGACGAACAAUUGCGAAGGGAUCUAUCCGGAUGUUUUUGUUGAUCAAGAACGAAAGUUAGGGGAUCGAAGACGAUCAGAUACUGUCUUAGUCUUAACUUUAAACUAUGCUGGCUGGAGAUUGGAGUCGUCAGAUUUGUGACGUCUUCAGCAUCUUAUGAGAAAUUUAAGUCUUUGGGUUCUGGGGGGAGUAUGGUCGCAAGGGUGAAACUUAAAGGAAUUGACGGAAGGGUAUUAUUAGGAGUGGAGCUUGGGGUUUAAUUUGAUUUAAUACGGGAAAACUUACCAGGUCCAGACAUAGAUAGGAUUGACAGACUGAUAGCUCUUUCUUAAUUCUAUGGGUGGUGGUGCAUGGCCCGUUCUUAGUUGGUGGAGUGAUUUGUCUGGUUAAUUCCGUUAACGAACGAGACCUUAACCUGGCUAAAUAGUGUUCUGAACCUCGGUUCACGGUCUACUUCUUAGAGGGAC
rnacentral:rRNA from 1 species